UCUGGGUUGUAAACUUCUUUUAUCUGGGAAAAAAUCCAUAUAUUCUUAUGUGGUUGACGGUACCAGAUGAAUAAGCACCGGCUAACUCCGUGCCAGCAGCCGCGGUAAUACGGAGGGUGCAAGCGUUAUCCGGAUUCACUGGGUUUAAAGGGUGCGUAGGCGGGUAGGUAAGUCCGUGGUGAAAUCUCCGAGCUUAACUCGGAAACUGCCGUGGAUACUAUUUGUCUUGAAUAUUGUGGAGGUGAGCGGAAUAUGUCAUGUAGCGGUGAAAUGCUUAGAUAUGACAUAGAACACCAAUUGCGAAGGCAGCUCACUACACAAUCAUUGACGCUGAGGCACGAAAGCGUGGGGAUCAAACAGGAUUAGAUACCCUGGUAGUCCACGCCCUAAACGAUGAUUACUCGACAUCAGCGAUACACUGUUGGUGUCUGAGCGAAAGCAUUAAGUAAUCCACCUGGGAAGUACGACCGCAAGAUUGAAACUCAAAGGAAUUGACGG
rnacentral:rRNA from 1 species